rnacentral:miRNA from 1 species
AUGAAACUAAAAGGCAAUGAAGGAGGUGCACUGUACUUUCUUUUUUGUCUUUCUAG